rnacentral:lncRNA from 1 species
AUUGUUUUUCUUCAGAGUCCUCUCCCAUUUACUGAUGUCAGAGCUGGACUCUGACAUGUGGUGCCCCAUGUGAGUUUGCUUUUUGUUUGAACUUGUUUUUUGUGUAAGCUUGCUUUUUGUGUAAAGCUUGCUUUUGGUGUGAGCUUACUUUUGUGUAAGGCCUGCUUUUUGUAUGAGGCUGCUUUUUGAGUGCUGCCUGUUUUUAUGAGGUUCAUUUUUCUGUGUGAGGCCUAAAUUUUAUAAAAUAUUUUAAAUACUGAACCGGCUGGCACUCACCCACGCCCGGCAAGUGGUUAUAGACGCGUCAUACAGCCUUAAGGAUUCCGGGUGAGUGUUUGUUUGUCCAGGUGGAACAUAGCCAUUAUGGGUUCAUCUUUGUCUUCAGCCCAGAAACAAUAUGUGGAUGACCUCCUCUAUUUGCUAACUAAAAAUGGACACACAGUUACAAAGAAAGAGGUCGAAGAUUUAGUUUUUGCCAUAAAAGAUGUGUGUCCCUGGGUGCCAGAAAGUGGCACAAUAAAGCUGGAAGAUUGGUGUAAAAUUGGCUGCAACUUUCAGAAUUAUCCAAAAAUUUCAUCAAAAGUGCUUUUUACAUGGUGUCAGGUCCGUGUUUGUUUAAAGGGACUGACACCCAAUAACAUCUUAUUUGCCCAACAACAAGAAGCAGGCUGUUUUACUCUUCCUCCAUUACCUCAACUGUUGCCACCUGCUCCUACAGUGCAUUUAGUGUCACCGCCUUGUUAUGAGCCACAAAAAUGCAAACCUCUUGAUAUUGGACUUAAUGACAAUGGUGACUUUGUUGCCCCUGAUUUAUUUCCAGCAGAUAAUCAUGGUGAGGGGCCAAGGUCUAAUUUUUUUGCUGCAACAGUUGCUUCUGCUUUAUUAGAUUCAGGGGAUGCAGGAAAUACCACCAUUUCUGCUUUACCUGUAAUCCGUGAUACACCUGUAGUAGGAAAUAACCCUGGUGUCCCAGAUAGAUAUGACCCUUUGGGAUAUCAAUUUAUUAAGGAGUUGCAAUGCAGCAUUAAGGAUAAUGGCAUUCAAGCUCCAUACACCNNNNNNNNNNNNNNNNNNNNNNNNNNNNN